CCCUGCUGAGCAGGGAGCCCGAUGUGGGACUCGAUCCUGGGACUUCGGGAUCAUGACCUGAGCCGAAGGCAGUUGCUUAACCAACUGAGCCACCCAGGCGCCCCAAACAAAUCAUGAUUUAACAACAAGUGUCCAUGAGGAAGACCAAAAGGAAGCACCUACUGAAACUGAUCCAUGUUGGCUGAAAUUAGGAAAGAAACAUGGCUACAUUUUGAACAACUGGGAUCCAUCCACAGAAAGGAACAAUAACUCUUGCUGGUGACUGCCAGGACCAGUCAGUUGCUGCACUGCCUCUCUAAGAAACAGAGAAAAAUAAGGCUCCAUCCCAAUAUUUUCAGAACUGGAACCAUUAUAAUUUCUAUUUUAUGAAUAGAGAAACUGAGGCCUGUGGAAUUCAUGAAAGGCUAGCUGGAG